rnacentral:tRNA from 1 species
GGGGUGGAGCAGCUCGGUAGCUCGCUGGGCUCAUAACCCAGAGGUCGCAGGUUCAAAUCCUGUCCCCGCUAC